CCGAGUUUACAACUCCCAAACCCAAUGUGAACGUUACCAAACUGUUGCCUCGGCGGGGUCACGCCCCGGGUGCGUCGCAGCCCCGGAACCAGGCGCCCGCCGGAGGAACCAACCAAACUCUUUCUGUAGUCCCCUCGCGGACGUAUUUCUUACAGCUCUGAGCAAAAAUUCAAAAUGAAUCAAAACUUUCAACAACGGAUCUCUUGGUUCUGGCAUCGAUGAAGAACGCAGCGAAAUGCGAUAAGUAAUGUGAAUUGCAGAAUUCAGUGAAUCAUCGAAUCUUUGAACGCACAUUGCGCCCGCCAGUAUUCUGGCGGGCAUGCCUGUCCGAGCGUCAUUUCAACCCUCGAACCCCUCCGGGGGAUCGGCGUUGGGGAUCGGGACCCCUCACACGGGUGCCGGCCCCGAAAUACAGUGGCGGUCUCGCCGCAGCCUCUCCUGCGCAGUAGUUUGCACAACUCGCACCGGGAGCGCGGCGCGUCCACGUCCGUAAAACACCCAACUUUCUGAAAUGUUGACCUCGGAUCAGGUAGGAAUACCCGCUGAACUUAAGCAUUA
rnacentral:rRNA from 1 species